rnacentral:rRNA from 1 species
AUCAUUGUUAAUAUUUUUCUAAUAAACAUAUAUAUAUAGUUCUCGUCCGAUCACUGAAGUUAAGCAGCAUUGAGCGUGGUUAGUACUUGGAUGGGUGACCGCUUGAGAACACCGCGUAUCGUUGGCA